GGCCUAGUGAGCCUAAUGGCUAAGGCUAUGGAUCGCCAAUCCAGAGUCAGCGGGUUCGGUUCCCGUUCCGGUCG
rfam:Aedes albopictus isolate Foshan contig134211, whole genome shotgun sequence.